GUAGAGAUUUGUUUUCAAAUGUUCUGUGUUAAAAAUCCAGGAAAAAAUGUCUCCACAGUCAUAGUGUCCCGUGCCAGGGCAAGCUGUUGGCCCCAAACCAUCGCCUGGCCUCUGUGUCCAUAAGCUACUGACACUGAAGCCAGUUCUGCAGCU
rnacentral:snoRNA from 1 species